rnacentral:rRNA from 1 species
UGCCAGCCGCCGCGGUAAUACGGAGGGGGUUAGCGUUGUUCGGAAUUACUGGGCGUAAAGCGCACGUAGGCGGAUUAAUAAGUCAGGGGUGAAAUCCCGAGGCUCAACCUCGGAACUGCCUUUGAUACUGUUAGUCUUGAGUUCGAGAGAGGUGAGUGGAAUUCCGAGUGUAGAGGUGAAAUUCGUAGAUAUUCGGAGGAACACCAGUGGCGAAGGCGGCUCACUGGCUCGAUACUGACGCUGAGGUGCGAAAGCGUGGGGAGCAAACAGGAUUAGAUA